GAACGCUGGCGGCGUGCUUAACACAUGCAAGUCGAGCGGUAAGGCCUUUCGGGGUACACGAGCGGCGAACGGGUGAGUAACACGUGGGUGAUCUGCCCUGCACUCUGGGAUAAGCUUGGGAAACUGGGUCUAAUACCGGAUAUGACCGCAUGCCGCAUGGUGUGUGGUGGAAAGAUUUAUCGGUGCAGGAUGGGCCCGCGGCCUAUCAGCUUGUUGGUGGGGUAAUGGCCUACCAAGGCGACGACGGGUAGCCGACCUGAGAGGGUGACCGGCCACACUGGGACUGAGACACGGCCCAGACUCCUACGGGAGGCAGCAGUGGGGAAUAUUGCACAAUGGGCGGAAGCCUGAUGCAGCGACGCCGCGUGAGGGAUGAAGGCCUUCGGGUUGUAAACCUCUUUCAGCAGGGACGAAGCGUGAGUGACGGUACCUGCAGAAGAAGCACCGGCUAACUACGUGCCAGCACC
rnacentral:rRNA from 1 species